UACGAGAGGUGCAAGCGUUGUUCGGAGUGACUGGGCGUAAAGCGCACGUAGGUGGGUAUAUAAGUCAGAUGUGAAAUCCCCGGGCUCAACCCUGGAAUGGCAUCUGAAACUGUAUAUCUUGAAUACCUCAGGGGUUGGUGGAAUUCCUGGUGUAGGAGUGAAAUCCGUAGAUAUCAGGAGGAACAUCGGAGGCGAAAGCGGCCGACUGGGAGAGUAUUGACACUAAGGUGCGAAAGCGUGGGGAGCAAACAGG
rnacentral:rRNA from 1 species